GUUAACAAAAUUGUUUUUAUUUGUUUACAUAAUCAGUUAGAGAUGAACAUUCAAAUAUACGUUUGGAUACAUAUCAAUUUUUACAGAUAUCAGGUUUUUAGAUUUUAAAAUUAAACAAUGUUUGGGUAUUAUAAUUUUUAGAUAUGGUUUAAUUUAGAAUUUUUCGGGUCCAGAUAAGUUUGUAUGAACCUAAAAUAUCAAAAUAACCUAUAUGUGUAAAAAUGUCCCUAAAUAAUUUAUAAAAAAAUAAAAACUAAAUCCGUAUCGUACAGACGUGCGGAUCAACCCCUGCUUACUCCUAUUAAUUGAGUGGGUAUUUGUUCGUCAAAUUCUAAGAACGCAAUAAUAGAUUAUAGUUGCAUAUUCCUGACGUUGCCUUUAUUUCUUUUUUUUUUUUCCUUUUAGACAUGACUUUAUGAAUAUUUCCCUUUCUAGCAUUUCUGACAUAAUUUCCCAAAUCAGCAGCACAUGCUUUCUUUCUGAACCCAAUUUGUUUUAGCGAAAAUGUGAUUUAAAUAUGACUUGAGACAAACAAUAAAAAGGUAAUUUAAGUUUGGAUUACAC
rnacentral:lncRNA from 1 species